UGGGGAAUAUUGGACAAUGGGCGCAAGCCUGAUCCAGCCAUGCCGCGUGAGUGAUGACGGCCUUAGGGUUGUAAGGCUCUUUCGACGGGGACGAUAAUGACGGUACCCGUAGAAGAAGCCCCGGCUAACUUCGUGCCAGCAGCCGCGGUAAUACGAAGGGGGCUAGCGUUGUUCGGAAUCACUGGGCGUAAAGCGCACGUAGGCGGACUCUUAAGUCAGGGGUGAAAUCCCGGGGCUCAACCUCGGAACUGCCUUUGAUACUGGGGGUCUGGAGUCCGGAAGAGGUUGGUGGAACAGCUAGUGUAGAGGUGAAAUUCGUAGAUAUUAGCUAGAACACCAGUGGCGAAGGCGGCCAACUGGUCCGGUACUGACGCUGAGGUGCGAAAGCGUGGGGAGCAAA
rnacentral:rRNA from 1 species